CUGAACCGCCCAGCAGUGUUUCCUUGUGGAAUGCAGGACGUCGCAUCUCUGGGCGAUCGCACACCGGUCACUCUCGCUUCGUUGAGACCCUACAGGGGCCAGGCGACCUUCUUCCGAGACCUGGACCGUGAGGCCCUGCUGCGCCUAAUGCAUCUGGACCAGCGCCGUCCUCCGACCGCGCUGCUUCCGGGGAGCCGCUGGCCGCCGCAUCGGCCUCGUCCUUGCGACGAGGGGCAUCCGGCGGUUCGGCGUCGGUACCCGCGAGGAAGAUCUCUUUGAGGGGCGCAAUUCUUCGCCAUCGGCGGAGCCCAGAUUUUUUUAGCAUUGUUUUACGCAACUUUUAUUAAUUUGUAAGUUUCUUUACCAGCAUUUUAUUAGUGUAAUUAUUUCCUGUACUUUAGUUUGUAACGUUAUAUUUUAUUGUCUGACCUUGCGCCGUUAUGUUCGCGAUAAACGCAUCGUAGUGGUGUUUGUGCUGUCGGUGUCAAAUGAAACCCUGGCGCAUGGCCGAAGGUAGUUUUCCCCGCCUUCUGUAGUGAUCUUCUAUGUCUGCGAGGAUGCGCUCUCAAGAGGGUUGCAAUUGCUUAUGAUUUCUUUGAUGAUCCUUCUCUCGUCUUGUCGCUAAAGCGGCGCGUCAUAAAAUGCUCCCAACUGUCUAUACUGGUGCAGUAGCACAUUGUUUGCAGCCGGUGCAGUUGAGGUGAGAGCGCUUGGCAUCAAAGGAAACGGACACCACGAUAUGUCUCUUAGAAGCGCACCUUCGAUUUCUGCAGACAAACAGAAUAUGCACGGCUGCCUCUGGUGGUCACUGGUAGAAGGCGCAACUCUACCUUCGGCCAUGCGCUCCAGUUUUCGCAUUUAGUUCCAAGUCGAUAUGAGCGUCUGUUGCUUUUUACAUUCUUAGUUGACCUUGUUUGAGGGCAUUCACUAAUCUGUCUUAAUUUAGAGCUUCUUGUGUUCCCUUCUUUACGAGUUUAUCUGAAAUAAAAUAAUCUCAUAUUGUUUUACCGUUUA
rnacentral:lncRNA from 1 species